AACAACAUUAGGAUCCAGUGAAUCUGUUUUCACGUUUCUUUUAAAUAAAGUUCCGUCACGUGACCCGGAAGUAAAAACAACUCGAGGCGCUAGCUAGCAUGCUAGCAGCGUUAGCUCGUGCUGAGAGGACGGCGGUGUUUCGUUGGUUCGUUCGUGAGGUUUUACAGAGAUGUAGCGAUACGUGGUUCGGUUCCGAACAAUCCUCUUUAGCUAAAGUGUCGUAAAUGAGUGAAGAAGUGUUGAACGUAAAGACAACGUGGCUGUGAUUGAGAGACUAGCAGAUGAUCGGAGCUGCUGCUGUUCAGAGGACUUUGGUGUUUGUUGGAGCUGCAGGAACCAUGUCUUCCCUUCAGUCUCUGAGAGAGUUGAUCAGCGAGCGACUAGCUGCUGCUGCUGAAGAAAUCUGCAGACUCUGUGAAGGAACCAUCGUCCAGUACGAGCAGGAGCUCUGUCGUCAGCGCAGACUGCUGGAUAUCUGCUGGAAACCACAGCUUCAGCUCCACCACAUAGUCCUCCCCCAGCAUUGGUUGACUGAAGAAGAUCUCUGCAACCAGCAGAGGAACUUCAGAGUGGACCAGGAGAAUCCAGAACCUCCACAGACUCCAGAAGAACUGCAGGAUCCAGAACCUUCUCUGAUUAAAGAGGAACCAGAGGAACUCUGCAUCAGUCAGGAUGAAGAGCAGCUGGAUCUGAAGCAGGAGACUGAAACCUGGAUGGAGAUUCCUACUUUGGAGGAACAUGUUGACAGUGAAGCAGAUGGAAACAGUCAGCAGAUCUUGAAUGGAGCUGAUGGUCAGGAUGAAGAAGGAAACCAACAUGAAGAAUCAACAUCAACUCCAGAUGAAGAGACAGAGCCACAGAACAGAGAUCAGAAGAAGAGAAGAGACAGAAGUCAUGUCCAAAGUGUGGCCAGCUCUCACAUGUCAGAAGUCCUCCCCCAGCAUUUGUUGAUAGAAGAGAAAGAUCUCUGCAACCAGGAGAGAAACUUCAGAGUGGAACAGAAUGAUCCAGAACCCAAGCAGACUAAAGAGGAAGAGGAGGAGCCAGAACUUCUGCAAAGAGAAGAGGAGCAGGAAGAACAAGAACCUCAACAGAUUGAAAAGGAACACGGAGAACCAAAUCCUCCACAGUUUAAAGUGGAGCAGGAGGAACCACAAACUCUACAGAUUAAGGAGAUUUAUACCUUGAUGGAGAUUCCUACUUUGGAGGAACAUGUUGACAGUGAAGCAGAUGGAAACAUUCUGCAGUGCUUGAAUGUAACUGAUAGUCAGGAUGAAGAAGGAAACCAACAUGAAGAAUCAACAUCAACUCCAGAUGAAGAGAAAGAGAAAAUGAACAGAGAUCAGAGGAAGAGAAGAGACAGAAGUCAUGUCCAAAGUGUGGCCAGCUCUCACAUGUCAGAAGGUCAGUGUGACUCUGAUGUCAGAAAAAAGUUCAAGAUAGCAACUUUGGUUAAGAGACACAAACAAUCCCCAAAAGAAAAGAGACUUCCCAUAUAAAUUCUGGUAAAG
rnacentral:lncRNA from 1 species